AUGAACGCUAGCGGCAGGCUUAACACAUGCAAGUCGAGGGGUAGAUGUCUUCGGGCAUUGAGACCGGCGCACGGGUGCGUAACGCGUAUGCAAUCUGCCUUCCACAAAGGAAUAGCCCAGAGAAAUUUGGAUUAAUGCCUUAUAGCAUUACGACUUGGCAUCAAGAUGUAAUUAAAGAUUUAUCGGUGGAAGAUGAGCAUGCGUCCCAUUAGCUAGUUGGUAAGGUAACGGCUUACCAAGGCGAUGAUGGGUAGGGGUCCUGAGAGGGAGAUCCCCCACACUGGUACUGAGACACGGACCAGACUCCUACGGGAGGCAGCAGUGAGGAAUAUUGGUCAAUGGGCGCAAGCCUGAACCAGCCAUGCCGCGUGCAGGAUGAAGCAUCUAUGGUGUGUAAACUGCUUUUAUACAGGAAGAAACACUCGGACGUGUCCGAGCUUGACGGUACUGUAGGAAUAAGGAUCGGCUAACUCCGU
rnacentral:rRNA from 1 species